AGUUGCUCAUUCACCUCUUUAUGAUAGUCCCGCCGUAUAGCGGAAUAUGCACUUCAUAAGCCACCGAAUGAUGCCUAAGACUGGUGCCUA
rnacentral:misc_RNA from 1 species